rnacentral:sRNA from 1 species
CUUACCUCAUUUUGGAAACUUUCGCUGUAUAAUUUUUCCUCUCGCCUACUGCACUUGGAGUAUAUUCUUGCAUAUAAAACCCCCAAAGUCACUGUUCUCCUGAUACUCAGGGACCAAAACUGCCACAUAGUCACCCUUUGAAAACUCCUCUAAUAUGACUGGUGUUGGGGGGUGGGGAGCGCAGGGGAGUGGGUGACAAAUGACAUCUUUCAACAAAGGACACACUGAGUUUCCAAGAAAAGUAAACUCUUAAGUGAAUUUCCGGUAAAUCCAAGUAUUUCUGCUGAUGAACUGAGGAAACGUCAGAAAGUGUGUGCUCAAAGAAGCACUGUGGGACCUCGAAGGCACAGCUAACCUAUCAGGCACAGGGGCGGGACCCGGAAGGCACAGCUGACCUAUCAGGCACAGAGCAGUGUGCUUUGCGCAGACCUCGCAGCCAUUCAAAGUUUACAGCCCAGGAACACAGGAUGAAGCACAAAAGGCGCAACCUGGUACAGGAACUGCGGGGUGAGCUCAAGGAUCCAAGAAGCUGUCUUUCUCCUCCUCCAUGUGGCCACUGAAAUCAGCACGCCUAGACACCAUUCAACCUCCAAAAGCUCCUGUUCUGGAGAGGCACCUGUUGUGUGAGACACUUCCUGAAAGAAGUGACCAGACCUCUACUCACCUCAGAGUGGGCACCACAACGAACCGAGGUCACCAUUCUUCUCAAGUCCAACCUAGCAAGCCAGUGGAUUUAUUGGUGUUGCUUACAGAGCAGGAGAGUAUGGGUGAGGGGGUGCUGGUGGGAGCAUGAAUGACUGACAGGCAGCUGCAUCGCUGAAAAGCCCACCCCGUGAGAGCUGCAGCCUAGAGCUCUGUACUUGGCUUGCAGGCAGCUCAACAGGUCAGACCGCCUCCCUCCUCCUUAGUCCUCUGUAGGCUCAUGGACUAAAAGCCAUCCGAGGGAAGCCAUCUGAAGCUGGAGAGAUGCUUGGCUUGGCAGUGAGGAUCCCUAGUUGCUCUUGUAGAGGAUCCAGGUUUUGUUCUCAGUCUCUACCUGGUGGCUCACAACUGCCUGUAACUUCGGUUCUAAAGGACCCCACACUCUCAUCUUGUAAGGGAGCCCCAGAGUGGGCACAGAACACACCCAGACACCAAAUUCUCACCACAAAGGAGAGUUUUUCACCCAGGAAGGACAAGGCAGGGGUGGGUGGACUGCC